rnacentral:tRNA from 1 species
UGGGAUGUGGCUCAGCGGUAGAGCACGUGCCUCCCACGUUUGAGGCACUGGGUUCUGUUCUCAGCACCACAU